rnacentral:rRNA from 1 species
CAGCCGUAAACAAUGUGCGUUAGGUGUGUCGGUAACCACGUGUUACUGAUGCGCCGAAGAGAAAUCGUGAAACGCACCACCUGGGAAGUACGGUCGCAAGGCUGAAACUUAAAGGAAUUGGCGGGGGAGCACCACAACAGGUGGAGCCUGCGGUUUAAUUGGAUUCAACGCCGAAAAACUCACCAGCAGCGACUGUUACAUGAAAGUCAGGUUGAUGACCUUACUAGAUUUUCAGAGAGGUGGUGCAUGGCGUCAGUGACU